rnacentral:lncRNA from 1 species
CGUGUCUGGGAGAGCCUGGGGGAUUUCGUCUCGGGUCCCCUUGUCACAUGGGUGCGGACGCUGGAGAAUCUGGUGCCCAUGGGGUGGGUGGAGGACGAGCCCCAAAGUCCCAGUGCCCCAGACAGACAGGCGAGGGCCCGGGAGUAUUUCCUGCACCUGGCAGAUGGAGCCUUCCUCACCCAAGUCAUGGGGCUGAUAGACCCAACCCCGUGGCGUGCCCGGCCACCCCAGAGCCAGCAGGGCGACGAGAGGCUGCGACUCCAGACCCUGCACACCCUGCUGCAGCAGCUUCGCGCUUUCUACCAGGAUGAUUUGCAGCAGCUGAUUCUAAUGACUCCCCCUAAUGUGCAGCUUCUCGCCAGAGACCCCCUGACAGGUAACUGUUUGGGGGGGCAGUACCGGGCUCAAUGGGUCCAUAGGUCUGGUUCUGUCUGAGGAGCUGGAGAGGUGGGAUACUGGGCUGGAUGGGCCCAGGGUCUGAUCCCCUGGAGGGGUGAAAGGGGGCUGUCUCUGGCUGUAUUCACCCUUCCCUCCCACUGUCUUAGAGCAGGGCAUCAACGAGAUGCGGAAGCUGCUGCUGCUGCUGCUGGGGGCUGCUGUGCAGGUACGUGGGGGGUCUAGGGGUUGGGGGAGGGUCUGUGCAGCCAGCACUACCAGGUGUCUCCCUAUGCCCCCCAGUAGCGCCCCUGGCUGGCUGGGACGUGGAGCAGCCUUCAGUGGGGACUAUGGGUUAAUGCAAAUUUCCUCCCAGGGUUAGGGGUAUCACGGAUUUCAAGGCCAGAAGAGCCGACUGUGAUCAUUCAGUCUGGCCUCCUGUCUAGCACAGGCCAGAGGCCGGCCCGGAACCAUUCCUGGUUGAACUUACUGAGCAGAUCUUACGGAAUAACAUCCAGUCGUGGUCGGGGCCGACCCUUGACCAAAUGGUGCCCCAGGCGAAGAGUAACUUUGCCCUCCAUUUGUUAAACUUUUGAAUACCUUAUUUUUUAUUCCAUUUGUAGCUCAUUUAAUGACUUUGAUGCGCGAUUUGAAUGCAUGAUUUAUCCCUGUCAUAUAAGACGAUCAAUUUGCACCCUAGGAUCUGUAAAGCUGUAUUUAUUCAUGCCAUAUAUAAGCAAAUAAAAAAAAAAAUUUCCUCUAAGUUUACA